rnacentral:misc_RNA from 1 species
AAGUCGUAACAAGGUUUCCGUAGGUGAACCUGCGGAAGGAUCAUUAUCAUCCUAAUAUUUUUAUUUUUUUGAUUUUUUUCUCCUUUCUAUAAGGGGGAAAAAAAAUAAAAAAUAAAAAUAACCAUAAACCAAUCGUGAACCGUUUUUGCCUCCAAUGAAGGGGGAGAGAAUAGAAAAGUUAAGCACUCUUUAGUGAAUGCAUGAUUUUUUUUUGUUUUCACCCUCCUCAUUGGUUGUAUUUUUCAUUUUUUUUAUUUACCCUUUGAACAACUCAUUUCAUACAAAAAAUGAACUGAAUUAAUUUUUUUCUCUCUUUGAAAAAAGAUAGAAAAAAAGGAUAAAAUUAUCUUAAUGAAAAAAUAAGAGAAACAACUCUUAGCAACGGAUAUCUUGGUUCUC